rnacentral:rRNA from 1 species
GACGAACGCUGGCGGCGUGCCUAAUACAUGCAAGUCGAACGCAGUGGGGACGGGUGAGUAACACGUGGGUAACCUCCCAUCAGAGGGGAUAACACUUGGAAACAGGUGCUAAACCGAUACUGAUGGAUGGACCCGCGGUGCAUUAGCUAGUUGGUGCGGUAACGGGUCACCAGGGCCACGAUGCAUAGCCGACCGGAGAGAGGGAUCGGCCACACUGGGACGUGGCCAGGGCCCAGACCCCUACGGGGGGAAGCGGUAGGGAAUCUUCGGCAAUGGACGAAAGUCUAACCGGGCAAGGCGGCGGUAGUGAAGAAGGUUUUCGGAUCGUAAAAAUCUGUUGUUAGAGAAGCGGUAUCUAACCAGAAAGCCACGGCUAACUACGUGCCAGCGGCGGCGGUAAUAC